AUAUUACUAAGCGGAGGAGAAGAAAUUAACAAAGAUUGCCUUAGUAAGGGCGACUGAACCGGCAAAAGCUCAAAAUUAGAAUCGGGGAUUCAAAGAAUCUUCGAAUUGUAAUCAGGACUGCCUAAAUACGAAAGUUUGCUCAAGUACGUCGAAACGUACGCCAGAGAGGGUGAAAGUCCCGUACAGCUUAUUUUCGAACAAGGUAGUUCCCAAAAGAGUCGGGUUGCUUGGAACUGCAGCCCUAAGUGGGAGAUAUGAAUCUUCCAAAGCUAAAUAAGGAUGGGAGACCGAUAGCGCCAAGUA
rnacentral:rRNA from 1 species